rnacentral:lncRNA from 1 species
AAAGAAAUUAGUUUAAAGUUCGACUAGAUAUAUUUUUAUUAUGUCUUCCGUCACUUCUCAGGUUAUGCAUUUAAAAAAAAAAAAAAUAAAUAAACUAAAGACUAGGACUACUCGUAUAUGUGUUACUUCAAAUAAUGAAAGCGAUUUAACACGUACUGAAAAUAACUGUGAUGAUGAGCCAACGAAAAUUCUGCCAACAACUAUAAUAAAAAAAAGAAUCUCCAACGAGAUGAUGUGUAAUGUGCUCCGGAAAGAGAGAUUGUAUAUCUUGUGGGAAUAUCUCACUACGUCAUAAAAUUUGUUUUGUAAAAUAUCAAUAAGCUAUUAUCUACAAACUGUCACACUAUUUCGAAUACUUUUUUUGAUUCUCCUCUCCUUCACUGAUCCUCCAUUGGUCAGAGGUCAAGUUUGAUAUGACUCUUGACCACAUCAUCACAAAUGUGAAAAUUUCCCAUUCUUAAAUUUUUUUUAUACAUUUGCUUAUGUAACCAUGGGUGAACCAAUUAGUUUCAAGAAUUCCAUAUUCUUUCCAUCUGUACCUCCACUGAGCCAAAUGCGAUAGCAUCGUUCAUUACAUCGUAUCUUUUAGAUUGAAAUAAUCUUCUAGGGCCUAUAUGUUCGUAUUUGUAGAUCUUCGCUUGUCAUGCAUUGUUUAGGUAGUCUUUUCCAAAUUGAUUUGUGAUUGUUAAGUCAAGUAUAAUUAUCUGUUUUUCAUUUUCUUAUGGCGAUAUCAUGGCGGAGGUUAUCAUCACCUAAUUCUUUGAUGGAUUUGUCUAUAUCAACUGAUGCUCUCUGGGUCCGUUAUGUUAUAGUGAGCUGUUUUUGCAAUCCGAUUUAGGAUUUUCUGAUGAAAUCGUCUGCGUUUGUUGAGAUAAUUUGGUCAUUUUGACAAUAUAUGGUGCAUAUUUGUAAUCUCCAUACUUUCUGCACUGAAAGGAAGAUUUUUACACAUCCAAAGAUUGUUGUUGGACGAGAGGAGAUCAGGUCAUGCUUUUGUUGCGAAUGCAUAUGUGGAUUUGGCUAGUUCAUUAUUAUUCACUCAGUGGUUUGAAGUUAUAUUUCUAUUGGUUGAAAUUGAUUUACUUUAGCCUUUAUCUGAACUGUUCCAAGGAUCGGACAUUGAUUCAGUCAUGUUAUAUUUCUUUUGUGAUGUUAUAGGAGUUCAUAGAGAUCUCCCCGCAAACAAAGUUACGUGAGACAAAUGUUGAAUCAAUGUUGUUAUUUUUAACAUUUGAAUAUGAACGUAACGUUUCUACGCAACCUUAAAGAAAUGUUUGUCAUUUUAAUCAAUGUUUGCUAAACGUUAGUUUUGAACAUUAAUAACACGUUUUUGGGAUAAUUCAUUGAACUGUUCGAUAUCCCUACACACGUGGUCACUCGCUCCACUAUCCAUAUACCAUCCAUUGGUUGAUAAAGCUGACCAUCCUACAAAAGCAUUUGUCAUUUUAUUAAUAUUU